rnacentral:rRNA from 1 species
UGGGGAAUAUUGCACAAUGGAGGGAACUCUGAUUCAGCGACGCCGCGUGAGUGAUGAAGGAAUUCGUUUCGUAAAACUCUGUUCUAUGGGAAGAAAAGGACUGUACCAUAGGAGAAAGCUCCGGCUAAAUACGUGCCAGCAGCCGCGGUAAUACGUAUGGAGCGAGCGUUGUCCGGAAUUAUUGGGCGUAAAGGGUGCGCAGGCGGCUUUACAAGUUGGAUGUGAAAUAUUGUGGCUCAACCACAAACGUGCAUCCAAAACUGCAAAGCUUGAGUUAAGGAGAGGUAAGUGGAAUUCCUGGUGUAGCGGUGGAAUGCGUAGAUAUCAGGAGGAAUCCCGGUGGCGAAGGCGACUUACUGGACUUAAACUGACGCUAAGGCACGAAAGCGUGGGGAGCAAACAGG